GUUUCUGCAAUUGAAAUUUUAUCCGUUCAUGGAGUGCCCGAAAUUCUGCAGAGACACUUGGCCUGAAUGCUCAUUUCAUUGUUGAAAGCCAAUACUGCUUUAACAGAUGCAAUAAAACGGUGAGAAUCUAAAGUUCACUUUUCUGCUUUAACUACCACAGACGUAAGAAGUUUACUCCACACAGCUGAAUGCCUCUCCUGCUUGCUGGCACAUUAGCUUUAAAGGUGUUCUGGUAGUUUUCAGUCUUCUGUGUUUCCUAAAUACUUUACUCCAGAUUCUCAGCUGGAGUAGAUGGAUGCAGCUAUGCUGCAGUCAGCAGAACUAUGCUGAUUUAUAACACCAGGCUUGUUUUUUGUAUGUAGAUAUCCUUAGAAAGUAAUCAGCAGGCUCCCUCAAGCUGAUUGCACAUGACUUGCAACUGCAGUUUUGAGAGCAAUAGCGUUCCCAAGGCAUCAGCACUCCUUGCAGCAUGUUCCCAAUUUGUGUAGGCAUCUGUCCAGGGUACAGCAGAGUCCAGACCAACACCAGUGGCAAGCUCCCAGCCUCCACUUCAAGCAUCAUUCAUCCCUAGACAUGGUUAAGUUAUAAUUAUUCUAUCACCCUGGACAGUUUCAAACAACGAUUCAAAGUGGUACAGAAAUCUCCAGACCAAGCUGUCAAAUUAUUUCAUUGCAGAAACUUUAAAAUUAUAGAACUUGCCAUUUCUUCACCUCUGGGAAACAAGCGUAGAACAGCCCAGAGCACUGACAGGGCACGCUCUGCCUAAACCCAAUGCCUUUAUAUUCUCUUCCAGUAUCAUUUCUGCCCUGUGAGUUAAACCAGUGCCUACAAGCUCGUCUCCACAUCUGUGGCCUCUGAACACCCUGUGGAGAUGUUAGGCUCUGUUUAUUGUGCAGGACUCACAGACCUGAGUUACAGGGCUAUCUGCAUUCAGCAACACGGUUCCUGUGUUCUCUGCUGACCUUGCAGGUUUGUCACCAUUUGAAAACAAUUAUUUUCCUCUGACUUGGCAUUUUUGGCUGCUGCCCAACUGCUUGCAGGCACUCUGGGAUUUAGAGUUACAGCCCCUCAAAGGAAUACUUAUCUUGAAAGUUGAAAAUAUUUCCGAAUGGCUAGGAUGUGUCCUUCAGCUGAGUGUGGUUUCAGAACUGCUUCAUCUGGAUCUGACCAAUUGAUCCUAAUGCAAUAAACUGACUGCAGGAAUAGCUAAGACCUGUGCAGAGGGAAGAGGCUGAUUGACUUUAAAAUAGUUGCAUCAUUUACUUCUCCUUUGAGAUGUUUCAUCUAGUGGAUGGGUAUGAAUCAGAUCUUCUAAUUAGAAUGACAUAUUUCAAAGAAAUAAUAUAGAAUAAAGUAAUUUGGUAAGUAAGCAAAACUAAUAAAAAUGUUAGAUGUUAACAAGAGAAGGAGGGAGGAAGAUUCAAGGAUAACAACUAGACUCAGCCCCCAGCAGAGAGCUUAGUGCCUAAAAGGAGUCCUUACACACCGGGACACAAAUGUUCUAACAAUGGCAGCAUGUCUGCCACCACGCACUGUGAGACUGCAUCGCCAGCUGAGAGCUCAGGGCACAGGAGCUUAAAAUUACAUUAGCUGUACUUGCCCCCCAGACUGCAAGUGGGGAAGCUCAGCAUCCCUGUGUGCUGUACAGUAAUGGCAAUAACGGUGUGUAAUCCAAACAGGCAUUUGGAUCUCAACUUUCCUGGCUAGCAUUCAGCCGUGGGGCAGCGCAAGCAAGCACCUCACUCUGAACAGGCAGAACAGUGUGUGCAACAGAAAUGAGAUUCCAGACCUAGAAUUGGCACCAUUUCCCUAGCAGAAAUUUUCCAGGCCUUGGUCUCAAAGGUGACUGACUGCUUGAGUGAGAAAAACAGAAAUAAAGCAAAAGAUCUCAAAGUGUUUUCUGUCUUGCAGUUAGCUCUUAGUUUUUGUAGCCAAGCUAUUCUGAGCCACUCACAAACAUUAACCUGAAUAGAAAGAUAGGUCUGUGUUUCUGGUGUAAGGAAUUCUUCUUUCCUGGGGCUUCCCUCCAGCACCUCAUGCAGUUCAUACCUUUGGUAACUAUGGAAGGAAAGAUGUUAAACUAGGUUUUGAAAUUGUGCUUUGAACACUAGCUAUGUAAUACAAGAGGAUACAGCAAGUGGAACUUCCUACGGUCAUCCCAGCAAACACCAUUCUACAGAUAACAAAAAGAUUUGGGUAGCCUCAGUCUGGCACAAUUCAGACUUAUUGAUUUCUGCAGUCAGUAAAAUAAAAAUGAGAGAUGCCACUACCAGCACUUCUGGAAGUGCCUGAUACAUCAGUCUGCAUAGCUUGUUCAUGGUGCAGUCAGCUGGAGUGGAUUCAUUCAUGACUCCAAGUAAUGCACCAACUCACAUUUCUGCACUCUGUUACCCGUCGCUUAUUUAAAGAGGUACAGGGAUUUCAGUCACCAUCCAAGCCUCAGUUCUGCAGCUGCAAUAUCUUCCAGAAGUUUAGGCUUUCUGUACCUGCUUACUAGUAAAAGAUGCAAAUGGCUGCAGGAAAACAAUGAAGUGAAUCCAUGCACCUUUAUGUUGUCAGGAGAAUGUCAGUUUUUGAUCAUGACUUCAGUACAAGAUGGAUUAACUGGAAUGUCAGUGCUAUUUGUGUCAUUUGUUCUGAGGACAGAGGUCUUGUGUGAUGCUGAGGAGCAAAAAAGAGCAUAACAGGAAACCUACACAAGCUCCCAUAUAGACAGACAACAGAGUAUUUACAGUAUUAUUUCCAAUGUAAAUUAAAUAAAUGAGCAAAAGGAGUUUCAAGGCUCAGCCAUUACAUGAUUCUAUGCACCUGCAAUUAAAUGAGCCUUUUUUUUUUCCCAUUCACACUAAUAUAACAUCCUCGUAACCAUUACAGCAAGUUAUAUAUCAAUAUUACCUUUAAAUAGGCAAUUAACUGGGAAUAUUACAUUACAACAGGUGGACAUGACGAAGAAAGCCAGCAUUGCUGGAUGAUAAGCUUCCUACUGCUUGCCAGCCUCUUACACACCUGUCAUCUCAGAAAAUACUCACUUAAGAAAAUCAGUCAGGAGAGGACAUGGACAUGACAUAAUGACAUCUCUGCUUUCUUCAAUGUACACAAACUUACACAGCAUGCAUCAAGUGGUAGAACUGAGCCUGCCCUACAUUCAUGGUAGUUUUGGCCAUUCUCCAUGCUCAGGAAUAAUUCCUGACACUCCUUCUGACUAUUUCUCAGUACAUCAGUGCUUUACUGGAAAGCUCUUCUCACAGAAUGUGCUGUCCAUCCAGAAUUCAUCUUCUUUCAGUGCUACCUGCAUGCACUAAUUUAUUGGGAGCAUCUGCAAUUCCUCAGGAUUCCCUUCUCAUCUGAGACCAUCAUGAGAAACUGUUAGCAAACACCAUUAGCAAGUGGUUAAAGCUGCUCCUUUAAAGAAAAGUGAAACCAUGAGCAGGAUAAGAGAGUCAGGAAGAAAAUUCUGAGCACCUGGAGUCUAACACACAUUAGAAUAAAAUACAGUGAAUUUGCUUAGUGAGUGACAGCAGCACUUGGUAGGAAUGUAAUUGUGAAACACACUAUUUAUCAAAGCUGCGCUUUGCCUCAUAGCUUUAUCAGCCAGAUUUCUUUGCAGAGCUUGACAACAUCAUCCUCUGAAAAGCUCAUAUAAAAAGGUGAAUUUCAAUCUUACCUGCCUUCACCCACCAUGCAUGUCCUCAGCUUGCUCUGGAUUUCUGACGCCCUUAUUCCUUGCAGAAAACAGCAAAAUUCAGCUCUGGGUUUAGGAGAUGUCCAAAUUGCUUUCAACAUCCAAAGUGCUUAAUUACUCAGGCUGUCUGGAAUACAUCAGAAUAAAUAGUGAAUAAAACCUCCUAAGUCGUCACAUCAGGCCUGCUUUAGUAAAUCUUUUCACUUAUUAAGAACAAAUAUAAACCACCCAAAUAUACUUUUUUCUUUUCUUUUUUUUCUUUUAUUUUUUUUGUAAGGAGUUCUUUAAAACAGUUCAUAAACUCAUGAGCCAGCAUACGCUGCAAAAACACAAUAAAAAAGGAAAAAAACUCAGUGACAUAUUUUUGCAGUUUAUCUAUCAGCUGAAUCCUCCCAUCUCACACAAAGCGUUUCACAUAAAGGCAGUCAGUAAAGUCCUGCUAGGGUUAGGAAACACACAGCAAUGCUUCAUCUGCUUUAUUAGCCCAUGGCUGAACUGGUAUCCACGUUCUUGCCAAGGCAGAUAGUAUUUAGAGGAGUACAAAUGCAGGCUCAAUGACUCCAUGCUUCUGGAGGAGGGAGGUGCUCUCCUCUGGACACAGGUGAAUACAGAAACCUCUUGUAUGAGCUCCCUGCGCCCUUGUAUCCUGUAUCAUACACCAUCAGGAAGAACCUUACUCAGAGCAGAUGCCCUCUGACUUCUACUGGGACCUACCCUCACUGGUAGGUGUGCAGGAAGACGUGCAGGUCCAAACUCAGGCAUUACCAUACUCUUCCCUAGAGAAGUGCAAAUUGAAGUGGUUUGGUCAGUGUGUUCUUAACUUGCUCAUCGUUUCAAAGAAACAGGCAGCAAAUGGAUGGUGAGUUCAUUGUUAUUGCAGGAGUGUCUUUGAGAGAUGCUCCCCUGAGGCUGCCUUGAAGCUUCUGCUUGACAGGUGUAUGUAAUGCACCAAGAUCCAGGGAGAAAUCCUGUCUUGUCAGCUGAACUGAAAGUCAAUGAACAGAAAUGAGUUAUGUUCAUGAGAGAAGAGAGAGAACAAUGAGAACACAGUUGGGGGUUUCACACGUGGAUUAAUUUACAACGUCUCUAAGCGUUUGCCAUUUCAGUACUUGGAAAUCCUGUCACAUUCUUUGAGAAAGGAUGGAUUAUAAAUUCUCACUAAAUGCCUCACAUAUACAGCUGUUCUGAAAGUUAGUAGCCUACUAAUUUCUCUUUCCAUGUGUAACCAGAAAGAGAAAAGGAGUUGCAGCACAGCCCAAUUAACCCAUUGCCCAGUAGUGGCAGUACUGCUGGUAAGUGCUCUAUUUACCAUGCAGGAAGGUAUUCUAUACUUAAACAUAACUAAACAGAAAGAAUUCUGAUUUUUAUUAUUAUUAUUAUUAUUUUUAACUAUCAUUUGGGCAGAUUAACCUGUUGAAUAAAGCCCAUAUCUCAGAAUACAGGCAAUAUAAACAAUUCUAAACAAAAUACAAUGUCAGUAAAUUCAUAGGCUGGCAUCUGAGGAGAGUUAAUGUUUCUUUUCACCAAAGCACAGUAACACCAACUGUACACUUCACAAUAAUGCUACAGAAAACACGCACAAUUACACUGCAUGAGGCUUUAUUAAAUCCAAAAUGCGUAUUUAAUGCAGCCCAUGGAAAUGUGCUGAUCUAUCCAAGGAAGAUUAGGGUAUCUCACAGCCACUGUGCCCUCUGGGCUUAAAAACAGCACUUCUGCUGCAGAGCACUGUAACUCUGUCUCAGGUUUUCAGCUGAAACCUUUGAUAGGAAGAAAAGCAGAACAGGGUUGUGCCUUAAGCCGAGGAUUCCCUACAGGUUUCUUCAAAGCUACAGUCUCAAAAUCUUACCUGCUUGAGAAAAGGGCAGUUAAUAUUUUAAUCGAUUGUUUACUUUGGAAAUCUCCUGCACCACUCCUGACUAUGUCUCAAAUUGUUCACCAAUUUUUCUACCUUGUGAUAAUUCAAGAUGCUCUGCAUUAAUUUGGUAUGAGUACUGUUUGGAAAUUUGGCUGCACACAAGCAUAUAUGGCACUGCAGCUCAUUUGGAAAUACUUUUCUUUAUAGCUUUGUAUUUCUGUGGUGAGCCACAGUCCUUGUGCUGUGUCAUUUUACCUUUCAUGAACUGCACUCAGAUAGAGAGGGAUAUCACAUUCUGCACCAGCACUUGUCACAAGCCUCAGUAAUAUUCAUCAAGCUCAGCAUAUUUCUUGCUGCUGCGUAUGGUGUUGCAACAUUGCAAUAUAGGGGAUAGACCUGACACAAUAAAGCCAAUUUUUAUUUAAUUUCUAGAGGUACAUUCCUGAGACUGAUUUCCUCCUGCCGUCCCAGCCUCAGCCAGGCCGUGAUAAUGGAGAACAACUCUUAGAAAAUCUGCCCCAUGCCGAACUGUCUGACUUCAGGAUCCAUUUUUUCCUCUUGCUGACUGCAUCAGUAAGCAGUGAUAACAGCUCUUUUCUCCAGGGCCACAUUAAGCAGCUUCAGGGCAGACUUUUUUAUGUUCUCUUUCUCAUGCCAUUAUGCACAGGCUUCAUGUCCAAAAAAAUCAUCUGUCACAUUCAGUUCCUGCAGCAUUAUUCUGACAAAAAUCAGUCACCAAGAAAGUCCUUGAUGUCAGAGGUUUCGUCAAGGCAAAGUAAUAAAUACCGAAGCAGUCAGCUUGUCUUCAGAGUCCUGGUGGUUUUGCCAGAAAUCUCACUUACUCCUUCAACACUAUGUUGUCAAAAGAAUUUCAUUUGUUGGAGUUUCUAUUUCCUUCCACUGCUUUUUAUUCCCCUCCUCCUCUUUUACUUUUCUUCUCUUCCCAAGGAAACGAGGGGCAAAUACAAGCGAGACACCGUACCAUCUUUAUCACUCCACCAUCUGCAAAUGGUUUCAUUCUUCUGACAAUUUCACAUGCAAC
rnacentral:lncRNA from 1 species